rnacentral:rRNA from 1 species
AUACGUAGGUGGCAAGCGUUGUCCGGAUUUAUUGGGCGUAAAGCGCGCGCAGGUGGUUUCUUAAGUCUGAUGUGAAAGCCCACGGCUCAACCGUGGAGGGUCAUUGGAAACUGGGGAACUUGAGUGCAGAAGAGGAUAGUGGAAUUCCAAGUGUAGCGGUGAAAUGCGCAGAGAUUUGGAGGAACACCAGUGGCGAAGGCGACUGUCUGGUCUGUAACUGACACUGAGGCGCGAAAGCGUGGGGAGC